CCUACGGGAGGCAGCAGUAAGGAAUAUUGGUCAAUGGAGGCAACUCUGAACCAGCCAUGCCGCGUGCAGGAAGAAGGCCCUAUGGGUCGUAAACUGCUUUUGUACCAGAGAAAACCCGAGUACGUGUACUCGGUUGAUAGUAUGGUAAGAAUAAGCAUCGGCUAACUUCGUGCCAGCAGCCGCGGUAAGACGAAGGAUGCAAGCGUUAUCCGGAUUCAUUGGGUUUAAAGGGUGCGUAGGCGGACUGAUAAGUCAGUGGUGAAAUCUCUCAGCUUAACUGAGAAGCUGCCAUUGAUACUGUUAGUCUAGAGUAUAGAUGACGUUGGCGGAAUAUGACAUGUAGUGGUGAAAUACUUAGAUAUGUCAUAGAACACCGAUUGCGAAGGCAGCUAACGAAACUAUAACUGACGCUGAGGCACGAAAGUUGGCGGAGUACAACAGAGUAGUAUACCUACGUAGUCGCACCGUAACGAUAGAUACUCGUUGUUGUCGAUAU
rnacentral:rRNA from 1 species